rnacentral:miRNA from 1 species
ACCGCUCCACUCUAAAUAUGAAAC